ACAUGAGGGAGUGCCGGGAGAGGACUACAACACCCAUGAUGCAGCGGGGCGCGCGCGCGGAUUCUCGCGAGAUCACGGUGUUGUCGGAGUGGGCAGGGUCACCGUGCUGUGGGUUGUUGUGGUAACCGAGCAACUAAGGACUGAGGCUAAAUAACUGCCAAGAUGUCGGAAACGGACCCAAAGACGGUGCAGGACCUGACCGCAGUGGUUACUACACUGCUCCAACAGAUGCAAGACAAAUUCCAGACAAUGUCUGACCAGAUCAUCGGUAGAAAUAUCCUUUCUUUCAAAGACAAAUAAAGUUCCAAAUGUUAAA